UACGUAGGUGGCAAGCGUUGUCCGGAUUUAUUGGGCGUAAAGCGCGCGCAGGCGGUCCUUUAAGUCUGAUGUGAAAUCUUGCGGCUCAACCGCAAGCGGUCAUUGGAAACUGGGGGACUUGAGUACAGAAGAGGAAAGCGGAAUUCCACGUGUAGCGGUGAAAUGCGUAGAGAUGUGGAGGAACACCAGUGGCGAAGGCGCUUUCUGGUCUGUAACUGACGCUGAGACUCGAAAGCAUGGGGAGCAAACAG
rnacentral:rRNA from 1 species